rnacentral:rRNA from 1 species
UAUUAUUUUGGACUGUUAAUUUUUGUGCUUGAGUAGUAUUAGUUAUGUUCUUGAAACUUAAAGAAUUUGGCGGUAUCUUAUUCCAUCCAGAGGAAUCUGUCUCGUUAUCGAUAGUCCGCGUUGGACCUUACUUGGUUGCCUUGGUUUGUAUACCGCCGUUUAUUGAUUAUCUUAUUAGAGUUUAUUUAAUUCUCUAGUUUCUUUAUUUUGAUUUAUUUCAGGUCAAGGUGCAGCUUGUUUCUAAGUGGAAUGAUGGAUUACAUUGUUAUUUGUUGUUUGGAUUGUUGAUUUUAAUAUUGGUAUGAAAGUGGAUUUGGUUGUAAUGUUUUGUAGAUUGUUUUCAUGAUAAUUGGUUCUGGGAUAUGUACACAUCGCCCGUCGCUCUCGUUUAUUUGUUAAUGAG